CGUGGACUUGUCUGCCUGUUUUGCUCAGCUUUCUCUGCGUGGCUGAGCUGGGAGCAGCUCCCCGUCCUGCUCCGCUGCGCCGUCCCCCAUGGCAAGGGUCUGCCGCCAUGGUAUGGGCCAUUCCACCCUUCAUGGCCACCUGGGCUAUUUCCACUUUUGCCUAUUCUGAGAGGCUGCUGUGAAUUCCUGCAAGGGUUUUUCUGGGUGCUUUUGUUUCGGGUAAACACCUGUGAGUGCAAGGGCUAGGUCCCAAGGCAGACAUAGGUUUUACCGUUUUAAGGAACUGCCAGACAGAUUUCCAAGUGACUGUGCCUCUGCAUUCCUGCCAGCAGCGGACGAGAGUUCUGGCGCUCUGUCCUCAUCCUUGCCAGCGGUGUUUAUGACACCUGUUCAGCUGAUAUUUUUGGUACCAACCUGUGUGCCCUCACCAUUCACCCGGUGGUGACCAGCAGCAAACACCUGUCACUUCCUGGGCUUGGAGACUUCCUCAGACCACUGCAGCUGCUCUUCCCAUGCACCGGCAGGCUGUUCACACAGUCCCUGGCUAGAAGCAUCCUGCAAUCAAUCUCUGCCAAGAUGGGUGGAUAAAUACUUUGGCUCCCUCACCUCCCGGCUGGAAUAAACUUGAUCUCAGGGUUAUUAAUUGUGCGCUCUUCACUGGCUCCCAAAGUUCCCAAGAAAAGCUGAGCCCACAGGGAUAACUUACCUGCUAAGGUGCCCUGUGUUGCUGUCUGCCAUCCCC
rnacentral:lncRNA from 1 species